CUUAUUACUGAGCUAAUUCACAAGAGGCCUCCUCGAUCCUUACUCAGAUACGUUCUAACUACUGGGGCCUUUCAUCAAGGUUUGCUAAGGACAGGUAUAUAUUUGGCAAUACAAAAUUAGUCAGUUUUUAAAAUUUUUUUUAUAUGCAGAUUGAUGAUUUCAUUUAAACCCAACAUAUUCAGGUAUACUUGAAGUUGCCUUGGACUAGAUACAUUAUGAUAAUGGGAAGACAAAACACAAAUAUUUCACUAGCAAAGGAAAGAGCAGUCUGUUUAAAUUUGCCCUGCAUUGCAUCAUAAAUGUUUUGAAAACAAUCUAUAUGUAAAAUAUGUUUGUUUUUUCAGUUUGUUUCAAAUUAAAUUUUGUAAGGGGUACCAAAGUCAAACAUAUCCAUUCAUUAUAAACAGGUAUUGCAUUGCAGCCAAUAUUAUUUUCAUAUUAACCCUUAGAAGACAGCGGUGUUUGAGGAGUAGCUCCCCAAAAAUAAAUGGUCUAUACUCUAUACAUAUAGUCAUUGCCGACCUUAGGACCGUAGCAUAAAUAUAUAUAUAGUUACUCUGCAUAAUACGUAGAUAUUUUUUUGUAUCGUCUACUAUAGAUCCUACCGCAAUCUCUAAGUGUUGUUAUAUUUCUGCCAUUCAAAACUGACUGACUGAAUUUAGGACUGUCUAUGUAUAUUUCCACUGCUGUCUAAGGGUUAAAAAUUAUAUAAAUUUUUAAGGUCUGUUGCUUUCUUUCAUUACAUUACAUUUUGUAUUGAUUAACAAUAAUUAGUUAAAAUUACCAUGUUUUUACUGCAGGUGCCUCCAGUGGGUGAAAGCCUUGAAAAUUGGCUUUCAAAAGCAUACUCAAGCCAUCUGUAGUGACCACUUUGAUGGGGUUCAUUUUGGCAGCAAGGGCCAGCUGCUGCCGACUGCAACCCCACGUCACACAGAUGGCCAUGAGGAGCAACCACCCACUGGGUUCCCGGCAUCAUCCCACAAUGCAGCCGCCAUUGACUUGGAGCCAAUGGAGUUGGAACUCUCCUCUACACAGAUUGUGCUGCCACAUUAUGAUCCGAACACAGGUUUCGGUAAUACCCAAGAGAAUGUGGCAGCCCAAGAGGAGAGUCCAAGAAAGAGGCCACGAGUGGAGCUGAACAGAACUCAGCCACCCCCAGAGGAAUGUGGCAUUAUCCAACCCCACACACAGCUGCUCAGUGUCCCCCAAGCCACAUAUGAAAAUAAUGAGCUGCAGCCUGACACUGAUGAGUGUGCUCCCCAUUGCACUGCACCAGCUCCACGUGCUGAUUUUGGGUGUGAAACUGAAGGGGUUGGAGGAAACCCGACUCGGCCAUCAAGCUCACCAAAAUACAGUAAGCAACCUCUUGUGCUCAGUGAUAAUUU